GGAGAGGAGGGAUGUGUUGCAGCAGAGUGGAUCGCUUACUCAAGACUUGCAGGAGUUGGUGACUGGGUGUUACCUGGGCGUUACCGGCACCACUUAUACCAAUGGCAAGACACUGCUGGGAAUCUUAGCAACCAUCAAGACUCACCACCCACAAGCACCAGCAUUAUCUCCAAUACCAAGAUACAUCCAUGUGUGAAAGGUUGUCAUCACAGGAGGAGGAAUCAUCAACAGAAGAGGUGCCGCCCACAGAACCCUGGAGGCGGAUCAACUGUGUCCCAUCUGUCCUUACUUCCUGCCCACGUCCGUCGAGGUCACCACACCUGUGGGCAUCCCGGCCAACCUCACCUGCGGCGUCAUGCAGCUCGGGGACAAGAAGGUGAGAGGGAGGAGAGGAAGGGAGGUCAGACUUAACCUCGUCCUUAAGGACUUGGGUGAGGAAGGAGAUGAGGAGGGAAAGAGGAGAUGAAUGUGAGAAGUGAGGAGAGAAAAGGAGGUCUGAGUUCACCUAUUCCUUUCUGUUCGUUGGUGAAAGAGAGGAAAAGGAGA